rnacentral:rRNA from 1 species
GAUGAACGCUGGCGGCGUGUCUAAGGCAUGCAAGUCGAAUGGUCUGGUUUCCAGACCAUGGCAAACGGGAGAGUAACACAUUGGUAAUUUACCCCAAAGACGAGAAUAAUCCAGAGAAAUCUGGAAUAAUACUCGAUAUUAUGCAUUGUCGCCUGAUAAUGCAUCAAAGCUCCGGCGCUUUGGGAGAAGCCUAUGGUCUAUCAGCUAGUUGGUGAGGUAAUGGCCCACCAAGGCGACGACGGAUAGCGGGUGUGAGAGCAUGACCCGUCUCACUGGGACUGAGACACUGCCCAGACUCCUACGGGAGGCUGCAGUCAAGAAUAUUCCUCAAUGGCCGAAAGGCUGAAGGAGCGACGCCGCGUGUAUGAUGAAGCCCUUCGGGGUUAAAAGGUACUUUUAACCGGGACGAAGUACUGACGGUACCGGUUGAAUAAGGGGCUGCUAACCUCGUGCCAGCAGCCGGCGUAAGCUAGUCUACG